CAAGACUGUGAGUAGGAGUCUGGUUCUCGUCUUUCCUGUCGCUGCCUAGAAAGACGAAAGGUCAAGUUGAAGAAGACGAUGAGUCGAUUGGUUUUUCCGAUCAUCGAUUUGUCAAGAGGCACUUAUGUGGAUAGAUAUCGAAUUGGUUGUGGAUUCUCCAAUUCCUGAUUUCUAGGACUGCAAUCUAAAGAGUCCUAAGAGAAAAGAGGGGUUUUCUAAAUUUCUGAUUGGUUGAUAAUUAGACUCAAGGACUAAGGAGUUUUUUUUUAGUUUAGAGUUUGGUGGAGCUAUAUACUUUGCAAGUAUUUAGAAAAAUGGAUUCUAAUUUCUGAUUAGUUUUUUUGAUUCGUUAGUUUUUCUGAUUCAUUUGUUCAGGUUGUAAUUCAUACUCCGUUCUUUCCUUAAAUAAGAAAUCAAAAAUCUUUUAGCUGUUAGAAAGAACUCCCCAAUUAUUUGAACCUGCUGUGAUUUUGAAACUACUGUGAUUUAGAAACCUGUUGUCCACUUGAUUACUUGACCAUUUGGAUAUUUGGAUAGGAGAUUUGGAGUUCAAAGCAACUUCC